AGCUUGGCCGCCGCCGCUACCUCUCCAGGUCCAAGGCAGCCUUCCUCCCGUGGGAUCCCAAGCACCAGCGGCACCUUCCUCCAUGGGAUGCGGGGCUGAAGGUGCUGCCCGGUGACAUGUAAGAGAAGGUCGCAGCGUGAGUAUGGAGUGGGUCACGGCGACCCCAGCCUCGGGCAGAUCCAGGCGUCCACGUCGACCCCGGCCACGGCGACCUAAGGCGGAUCCAGUGCCCGCGACAACAGCGACCCCGAGUCGGGCGAACCCAGGCGUCUGGAUCCAAAGGUUCGCGUCGACCUCGGCGUAAGCCACGGCGGCCUCGGGCGGAUCCAGCGGCCGUGGUCCUCUUCCAACAUGGAAGCUUUGAGGGCAGCACCUUGUCGCUGAAGGUGAGACAUGAGUAUCCAGUGUGCAGGUUGUGUCCCAGGUGCUCUCCAAGAACAACUUGAACAUUUUCCUCAAAAAUGUUGGCAUCAAACCAGCGGCAUCCUCCAACUCAGUAGCAUCAAAUGGAAGCUGGAGAGGACACAAAGGGAGAU